GCCAAGAUGGCUCAGUCGGUAGAGCGGCGCACUCGUAAUGCGCAGGUCGGGGGUUCAAUUCCCCCUCUUGGCU
rnacentral:tRNA from 1 species